rnacentral:lncRNA from 1 species
GUGCAGGGUUUCAGGAGGGAGGCACAAGCAAGUGCUUGGAGCCAAAAGGAGACCCGCUGCCCUGCCCACUGUGAGCAAUCAGGUGCUCUGCUGGGUGGCCCUUUGUCACCUGGGAGCAGGCACCACGGACAGUGGAAUCACUCAGAGCGCAGAAUAUCUGUUCAGAGAGGAAGGAUCGAGAUGUGACCCCGGAAUGUGAAUAGAAUUUUAAUUACAGCACCAUGUACUAAUACCGACAAGAUCAUGGACAAGAGCUGAGACUCAUCUGCUACUCACAGGCUGUAAAUGCUGUUUAGAAAGGAGAUGUAUCUGAAGGCUACAGUGCUUCUCAGGAGAAGAAGGCAUUCUUUCCUCUCACUGUGAAACUGACUCCAAAGAACCAGACAUCCCUGUAUCUCUGUGCCAGUAGUAGAG